GAAUAUGCCAUGCUGAAUAUACCGGUUCUCGUUAGAUCACCGAAGUUAAGCAUCAUUGGGCGCGGUCAGUACUUGGGUGGGUGACCACCUGGGAACACUGCGUGCCGUU
rnacentral:rRNA from 1 species